UUUUGAUUGUUGCUCAGAAGGCG
rnacentral:miRNA from 4 species